UUUUUAAAUGAAUACCUCCUCAUGUCCAACAACCAUCAAAAAAUCCACUGGUUAAAGUAUUGAACAAAAUGGACGCCUCUAAAUUUAUCCGAAUUGGUUUGGUGCUGACCAUUUGUGCUUUUAUAUUUCAACUUAUUGGAUUAGCGUCUCCGUAUUGGACAUUUGCCGAAUCCGAAGGAUAUAAAGGAUACCUUGGCUUAUGGAAAAUGUGCGAUUAUGUCAAAGCGUUUGAUACAAGUACAUGCAUUGAUUGGCCGGAGAUACCAGAAUGGUUAGAAGCUGUAAGAGCCACGAGUAUAAUAGGAUUAUUCUUAGUGUUAGCUGCUCUUGUAAUGUUAAUUCUGAGAAUGUCUGUCAUGAAAGAUAGGAAUCCAGUCUUGUUUGCGGCAAUAGGAACUACUUUUGUUGGAGGUAAGAGUUAUAUUUAUUGCACUUGUUGGUAAAAAAUGUUCAUUCAUAUUAUAAUAUAGAUAAUAUAAUUGAUAAUAAUUUAAUGUAAAAUUGUAACAGAAUAAAAUCUUUUAAAACCAUAUCAUUAAGGAUAUCCUUACUGUAAAUGGUGCAAGGUACACUAGUAGCAGGUUCUAUUAUCCAAAAAAGUAACACAAUUUAAAAAAAACAAAAUGCCGCACGAUGUUUAAAAUCAAUACCACAUCAACCCCUAAGGAAAACAGGGGCAAUCGUGCAUGAAUAUAGUCAGAACUGCUUGUUUGUAAUUGAAUACUCAGGUAGUUUUACAAAAUAUUCGUCACAUUUUUAAAGGUUUGUUUGCAUUUUUUGCAGCAAUUUUCAUAUUGAUUUCAAUUGCUGUUUACGCAUCAAAAGGGGAUGAGUUCUCUAAGAAGGAUGCGUUAAUCGAGGGAGCCUCAGCCGAUUACCAUUUUGCCUUUGCCUUCUGUAUAUUAGCAAUGGUAGCAGCGCUUGGUGCGGGAGCAAUCAUGAUGAUCGAAGUAGUAAAAGCUUAAAACUGUAUAAUCAACGUGAUUAAAAAGUCAUACAUGUAUCUU
rnacentral:misc_RNA from 1 species